AUUGUCCGCCAGAGAACUACAAGUGAAAAACUAGAAACUCCAAGGACUUGGCGGUGCCCCACAUCAACCUAGAGGAGCCUGUCCUAUAAUCGAUACCCCACGUUAAACCUUACCAUCUUUUGCCCCUCAGCCUAUAUACCGCCGUCGUCAGCCUACCUUGUGAAAGCAAAAUAGUAAGCAAAACAGUUAACAACUAAUACGUCAGGUCAAGGUGUAGCACAUAAGAUGGAAGAGAUGGGCUACACUUUCUACCACAGAACACACGGAUGGCACAAUGAAAGAUGUCCCUAAAGGUGGAUUUAGUAGUAAGAUAAACAAGCAACAUUAUCUUAAACCCGCUCUGGAGCGCGCACACACCGCCCGUCACCCUCAUCAC
rnacentral:rRNA from 1 species